GACGAACGCUGGCGGCGUGCUUAACACAUGCCAGUCGAACGGUGAAGCGCCUUCCUUUUUGGUGGGUGUGGAUGAGUGGCGAACGGGUGAGUAACACGUGAGUAACUUGCCCCCUUCUUCUGGAUAACCGCAUGAAAGUGUGGCUAAUACGGGAUAUUCUGGGUCUGUCGCAUGAUGGGUCUGGGAAAGAUAUUGUUUCGGUGGGGGAUGGGCUCGCGGCCUAUCAGCUUGUUGGUGGGGUGAUGGCCUACCAAGGCGGUGACGGGUAGCCGGCCUGAGAGGGUGGACGGUCACACUGGGACUGAGACACGGCCCAGACUCCUACGGGAGGCAGCAGUGGGGAAUAUUGCACAAUGGGCGCAAGCCUGAUGCAGCGACGCCGCGUGAGGGAUGGAGGCCUUCGGGUUGUGAACCUCUUUCGCCAGUGAAGCAGGCCUGCCUCGUUUGUGGGUGGGUUGACGGUAGCUGGAUAAGAAGCGCCGGCUAACUACGUG
rnacentral:rRNA from 1 species